UGUGAAUCUCUGACCGCUCCGUUCGAGAAAAGCCUUUUGUCUUUGAUUUUGAGUCAGCGGAAAGGAUGAAGUGUAUUGCAGUCUUUCUUGUGUUGUCCAUGGUCCUUCUCAUGGCUGAACCUGGAGAGUGUUUCUGGAAAUGGAUUGCCGGCCAUGUGGCGAAUGGGAUCAAAGGAAUCAUUAAUGGUGGGGGGGAAGAUCAGCAAGAGCUGCAAGAUCAGCUGGACAAACGUUCAAUUGACUACAACCCAGGCCCCCCACCCCCGGGCCCCCCUCGUUUUCACUAAACUGAUGGGACCAUUCUAAAGUUAUGUUCUGGAUGAAAAUAAAUUCCGCUUCUUGCUCUUUCACAUACUGUGAGAAAGAAAAGUAUAUAUCAAUAUGUAUAUGCAGCAAUCUUUAAUUAAUUUGGUAGA